rnacentral:rRNA from 1 species
CGUAGGGUGCGAGCGUUAAUCGGAAUUACUGGGCGUAAAGCGUGCGCAGGCGGUUUGUUAAGAUAGGCGUGAAAUCCCCGGGCUCAACCUGGGAACUGCGUUUAUGACUGGCAGGCUAGAGUAUGGCAGAGGGGGGUGGAAUUCCACGUGUAGCAGUGAAAUGCGUAGAGAUGUGGAGGAACACCGAUGGCGAAGGCAGCCCCCUGGGCCAAUACUGACGCUCAUGCACGAAAGCGUGGGUAGCAAACAGGA